rnacentral:rRNA from 1 species
CCUACGGGAGGCAGCAGUGAGGAAUAUUGGUCAAUGGGCGGAAGCCUGAACCAGCCAAGUCGCGUGCGGGAUGAAGGCCCUACGGGUUGUAAACUGCUUUUGCACGGGGAUAACACCCUCCACUUGUUGAGGUCUGCAGGUACCGUGCGAAUAAGGGCCGGCUAAUUCCGUGCCAGCAGCCGCGGUAAUACGGAAGGGCCGAGCGUUAUCCGGAUUCAUUGGGUUUAAAGGGAGCGUAGGCGGGUGUUCAAGUCAGCUGUAAAAUCGCGUGGCUCAACCCAGCCGCGCCGUUGAAACUGGACGCCUUGAGUAUACAUGAGGCAGGCGGAAUGCGUGGUGUAGCGGUGAAAUGCAUAGAUAUCACGAAGAACCCCGAUUGCGAAGGCAGCCUACCAAGGUAUGACUGACGCUGAGGCUCGAAGGUGCGGGGAUCAAACAGGAUUAGAUACCCUAGUAGUC